rnacentral:rRNA from 1 species
AGCAGCCGCGGUAAUUCCAGCUCCAAUAGCGUAUAUUAAAGUUGUUGCAGUUAAAAAGCUCGUAGUUGAAUUUCGGGAUCAAUAUAUUGGUCGUGCCUCCGGUAUGCACUGGUAUCAUUGAUUUCUACCUUCUGACGAACUAUGAUGUCAUUAAUUUGGUGUCAUAGGGAAUCAGGACUGUUACUUUGAAAAAUUAGAGUGUUUAAAGCAGGCACACGCUUGAAUACAUUAGCAUGGAAUAAUGAAAUAGGACGUUUGACCCUAUUUUGUUGGUUUCUAGGAUCGACGUAAUGAUUAAUAGGGAUAGUUGGGGGCAUUAGUAUUCAAUUGUCAGAGGUGAAAUUCUUGGAUUUAUUGAAGACUAACUACUGCGAAAGCAUUUGCCAAGGAUGUUUUCAUUAAUCAAGAACGAAAGUUAGGGGAUCGAAGACGAUCAGAUACCGUCGUAGUCUUAACCAUAAACUAUGCCGACUAGGGAUCGGAUGAUGUUAAUUUUUAAUGACU